CACUCUCUUCCCCAUUCCUCUUUCUUUUCUUCUCUCUUUUCUCCCCACCUGCACACCCUCAUCUCCCCCUUUCUUUUAUCAUGCAGCCCUUCCCCUUUCCCUUUCCUCUUCUCUUUGGUUUACACACGUACAAGCAACCCUAGAUGAAGAGAAACACCGAGAGAGAAUCCGGCCAUGGGCUUUAAGAGGUACUCCGGUAUAGUGGAUGGUUUGGUAGUAGUGUACUCUAGAUGUUAUAACUGAAGCUCGCCGCGACGGUCAUAAUUGCUCGACCACGGGUGUCCACUGUUUAAUAGGUUUUAUUUAUAACUUGUGACGCAUGUGUCACUUGUUAUUGUAUAAGCCAUUUCUGUUGUGAAAUUAAUGUGUUUGAUUUGAGGAAAGACAUAAACAGAUAGAUGUAAUA